rnacentral:sRNA from 1 species
GACAGAGAAAUAUAGAGGUGCAUAUCUUAGAGAGAAAGUGGAGAUGGAUUGGUCACACCCUUUGAAAAGAUACCAACACCAGAGCUAGACAAGUCAUAGGGUAGAACCCCCAAUACACAGGACGUAGAGGAAGACCAAAAAGAACGUGUUGACAGGAAAGAGAUGGGAAGCAAUUAAAAAAACUAGCAAGAGACCGUGGACAGUGGCUUGAUUUUAACGAGGCUCAAUGUUCUACGAGGAACACAAAGGAAGGAGGCUCUGUGAUUGAAUACAUAGGUCUAUUUGGAUAGGUUAGCUCUGUAAUUGUAUAGAUAGGUCUAUUUGGAUAGGUUAGCUCUGUAAUUGUAUAGAUAGGUCUAUUUGGAUAGGUUAGCUCUGUAAUUGUAUAGAUAGGUCUAUUUGGAUAGGUUAGCUCUGUAAUUGUAUAGAUAGGUCUAUUUGGAUAGGUUAGCUCUGUAAUUGUAUAAAUAGGUCUAUUUGGAUAGGUUAGCUCUGUAAUUGAAUACAUAGGUCUAUUUAGAUAGGUUAGCUCUGUAAUUGUAUACAUAGGUCUAUUUGGAUAGGUUAGCUCUGUAAUUGAAUACAUAGGUCUAUUUGGAUAGGUUAGCUCUGUAAUUGUAUAGAUAGGUCUAUUUGGAUAGGUUAGCUCUGUAAUUGUAUAGAUAGGUCUAUUUGGAUAGGUUAGAUCUGUAAUUGUAUAGAUAGGUCUAUUUGGAUAGGUUAGCUCUGUAAUUGAAUAUAUAGGUCUAUUUGGAUAUGUUAGCUCUGUAAUUGAAUACAUAAGUCUAUUUGAAUAGGUCAGCUUUGUCAUUGUAUCAUUUUGAUUUUUUUCAUAUAUUUUUUAAUGCUUACUUUGACAAUAAUAACAAGCUACAGAUGAAGAAA